rnacentral:rRNA from 1 species
UACGGGGGGGAGCAAGCGUUGUUCGGAUUUACUGGGCGUAAAGGGCGCGUAGGCGGUAGCACAAGUCAGUUGUGAAAUCUCCGGGCUUAACUCGGAAAGGUCAACUGAUACUGUGCGACUAGAGUGCAGAAGGGGCAACUGGAAUUCUCGGUGUAGCGGUGAAAUGCGUAGAUAUCGAGAGGAACACCCGUGGCGAAGGCGGCUCUCUGGGACGGUACUGACGCUGAGACGCGAAAGCGUGGGGAGCGAACAGG